GAUGAGCGCUGGCGGCGUGCUUAACACAUGCAAGUCGAACGGGAAACCUUUUAUUGAAGCUUCGGCAGAUUUAGCUGGUUUCUAGUGGCGGACGGGUGAGUAACGCGUGGGUAACCUGCCUUAUACAGGGGGAUAACAGUCAGAAAUGGCUGCUAAUACCGCAUAAGCGCACAGAGCUGCAUGGCUCAGUGUGAAAAACUCCGGUGGUAUAAGAUGGACCCGCGUUGGAUUAGCUGGUUGGUGGGGUAACGGCCCACCAAGGCGACGAUCCAUAGCCGGCCCGAGAGGGUGAGCGGCCACAUUGGGACUGAGACACGGCCCAGACUCCUACGGGAGGCAGCAGUGGGGAAUAUUGCACAAUGGGGGAAACCCUGAUGCAGCGACGCCGCGUGAAGGAAGAAGUAUCUCGGUAUGUAAACUUCUAUCAGCAGGGAAGAUAAUGACGGUACCUGACUAAGAAGCCCCGGCUAACUACGUG
rnacentral:rRNA from 1 species